GUGGGGAAUAUUGGACAAUGGGCGAAAGCCUGAUCCAGCCAUGCCGCGUGUGUGAAGAAGGUCUUCGGAUUGUAAAGCACUUUAAGUUGGGAGGUAGGGCAGUAAGUUAAUACCUUGCUGUUUUGACGUUACCGACAGAAUAAGCACCGGCUAACUUCGUGCCAGCAGCCGCGGUAAUACGAAGGGUGCAAGCGUUAAUCGGAAUUACUGGGCGUAAAGCGCGCGUAGGUGGUUUUGUAAGUUGGAGGUGAAAUCCCCGGGCUCAACCUGGGAACUGCCUCCAAAACUGCAUGACUAGAGUACGGUAGAGGGUAGUGGAAUUUCCUGUGUAGCGGUGAAAUGCGUAGAUAUAGGAAGGAACACCAGUGGCGAAGGCGACUACCUGGACUGAUACUGACACUGAGGUGCGAAAGCGUAGGGAGCAAACAGGAUUAGAAACCCGGGUAGUCC
rnacentral:rRNA from 1 species